GCCUUCGUGGUGUAAUGGUCAGCACGCUUGACGCGUAUUUCUGAGGUCCCUGGUUCGAGUCCCGGCGAAGGCG
rnacentral:tRNA from 1 species